GACGAACGCUGGCGGCGUGCUUAACACAUGCAAGUCGAACGGAAAGGCACUGCUUUUGUGGGGUGCUCGAGUGGCGAACGGGUGAGUAACACGUGAGUAACCUGCUCUUGACUUUGGGAUAACUUCAGGUAACUGGGGCUACUACAGGAUAGGAGCUCCUGCUGCAUGGUGGGGGUUGGAAAGUUUCGGCGGUUGGGGAUGGAUUCGCGGCUUAUCAGCUUGUUGGUGGGGUAGUGGCUUACCCAGGCAUUGACGGGUAGCCGGCCUGUGAGGGUGACCGGCCACAAUGGGACUGAGAGACGGCCCAGACUCCAACGGGAGGCAGCGGGGGGGAAUAUUGCACAAUGGGCGGGAGCCUGAUGCAGCAACGCCGCGGGCGGGAUGACGGCCCGCGGGGUGUGAACCGCUUUCGGCUGUGACGAAGCGGGAGUGACGGUAAUGGGUAAAGAAGCACCGGCUAACUACGUG
rnacentral:rRNA from 1 species